AUUUUAAGACGUGAGAAGUUAAAUCGAUGUUUAGUUUUGAUUAUUAAUGCCUGAAGUCAUUCUUACGUCAUCAUUGGUGGUCCUUUACUCGUCAAACGGCUCUGUUGUUGUUGUGGGAGCUCAACUGAGGAGAUUUGCUUUACAAGAAGAAAUAAAACAUGAAUGUGACAAACUAAUUGACAAGCAAAGACGGAUUUGUAGUUCAGUUAGAGGAGGAAAAUCCUGAUCAUCUGAGACAUCUUUACCUGACUGAAAAAAAAACGAUCUGUCCUGAUUCUCCCCUGCUUAUGAUCCACACAUCCAAGGAUGAUGUACAAAACACGUGAAUGUCCAAGAGAAACAGUACUGAUGCUCAGGAGAAAGGACAGAAGAUAAUGAGAAGAUAAAGGAGGAGCUGAGAGGAUAAAGAGAGGAAUUCAAGACAAAACUCCAAGAAG